rnacentral:rRNA from 1 species
AUUGAACGCUGGCGGCAUGCCUAACACAUGCAAGUCGAACGGUAACAGGUUUAAGGGUAACCUUAGAUGCUGACGAGUGGCGGACGGGUGAGUAAUACGUAGGAAUCAGUCUAUCAGAUUGGGACAACUCGGGGAAACCCGAGCUAAUACCGAAUACGUCCUGAGGGAGAAAGGUAGGGAUCGAAAGACCUGCCGCUGAGAGGGGAGCCUACGUCGGAUUAGCUAGUUGGUAGGGUAAUGGCCUACCAUGGCGACGAUCCGUAGCUGUUCUGAGAGGAAGAUCAGCCACACUGGGACUGAGACACGGCCCAGACUCCUACGGGAGGCAGCAGUGGGGAAUAUUGGACAAUGGGGGCAACCCUGAUCCAGCAAUGCCGCGUGUGUGAAGAAGGCCUGAGGGUUGUAAAGCACUUUUGUUAAGGAAGAAGUGUAUCUGUUUAAGAGAUGAGUACAUUGACGUUACUUAAGGAAAAAGCACCGGCUAACUCUGUGCCAGCUGCCGCGGUUAUACAGAGGGGGCAAGCGUUAAUCGGAAUCACUGGGCGUGAAGGGUGCGUAGGCGGAUUACUAAGUCAUGUGUGAAAGCCCCUGGCUUAACCUGGGAACUGCGAUUGUGACUGCAAGGCUAUAGGUGUCAUAGGGG